rnacentral:rRNA from 1 species
UACGUAGGGUGCGAGCGUUAAUCGGAAUUACUGGGCGUAAAGCGUGCGCAGGCGGUUCGUUGUGUCGGUGGUGAAAGCCCCGGGCUUAACCUGGGAAUGGCCAUGGAAACUGGCGAACUGGAGUGUGGCAGAGGGGGGUGGAAUUCCGCGGUGGUAGCAGUGAAAUGCGUAGAGAUGCGGAGGAACACCGAUGGCGAAGGCAGCUCGCUGGGACGGUACUGACGCUGAGGCGCGAAAGCGUGGGGAGCGAACAGGAU